GACUUUAUUAGUCUGUUCUUAUUGCCUGCAUAGUUAGAUUCUAUUAAUGGGAAUUAGUCUGGGCUAGCUUUGCUUGAGGAUUUCUAUCACGGGAGUGAAUUGAUCUGUUGUUAAACUUGUUGUCUAGGGAUAGCUUGAUUGCGCUUGUUAACCAUUCGAAUAGGCUAGGAUACCACUCUAUUUGAUUACCCCAUCCUUAGGAAUUUCUCGUCUAUCUGAUUUCUCUGUUUUAUCGUUAUCGCUUAAUCGUUCUCAUUGCCUGUUUCUUAGUUUUUGCAAUUACUCGACCAACUUACUCGGCCACACCCAGUGUCUGGCAACAGACUGUGCAGUCGAGUACAGUUGUCUCGUUUCCUAUCUGUUACUCGACCACACCCAGUGUCUGGCAACAAACUGUGCAGUCGAGUAUAGCUGGUUCAUAUCCUGUCUGUUACUCGACCUGUUACUCGACCACAUCCUACUUCUGGCAUCACCCUGUUGUGGUCGAGUGAUUUUAGUAAUUCUGUUAUUGUUUCUGUUUCUGCAUGUUCGCUUAGGACUGUUAGAAACCCCAAAACUGUUAUUGCUUGGCUUGACUUAGUGACUUCUGAUCACAUCUCAUCUGUUUGCAUCACACUCAUUUAGAUUGACACCAUAAGUACUACAACGACAUGAUAGUGUUAUAUGAUUAAUUGAUUAAAAACCUAUUAUCAGUUAGCAUCGAGAUUACCAGGAAGAAAACCCUCUUGUCUCUUGAUAGAUUGCGUAGUUUGAGCUACCUGUACAUCUAGCUUCUUCAAGUGAGAGCUCAGAUUGUCGAUCUUCCCAUUAAGAUCUAUGUAGACAGCAUCAAACUUGCCAUUAAACUCCACAACGAGCUUUGGUUGGCUCUCUAGAAUCUGCUUCAGCAUCGAUUCCAUUCUUAUCUCUUCUGAGGGUGGAGGGGGGGGGGGGCUUGGUAAGCUGAAUUACCAUAGGUCCUCUAGAAGUUGCUCUGAGGAAAAGUCUUAUGGAAAGCAGGCUUUGAGUGUAGUUGGAGGAACUCUGAUUCCCUGUAAACCUGUUGGGACUGAAGUUGCCCUGUGGCUGCCCAAACUUCCUGUAACCUUGUCCAUCAAUGUAGAAGACUCCUUCCUCUGACUCAGGCUCAGGCUCAAUAGUCUCAUCUUCAGCUGCAAAGUGGACAUGCUUCUUCCCUGUAAGCAAGUUAUGAACCGAAUCCAGCUUAGCAUUUACCUCUACCAUCUGAUUUCCUGAAAUAGCUCCAGCAAUCUUCUUCCUCUCAAAAUUAGCAUUUUUGGUACUGUUGCUGCAAGCGAGGUUCUCUAUCAGGGAUGUAGCAUCAGCUGGGUAACGUGUGUUGAAGUUACCAUUGCUCGCUGCAUCUAGAGCCAUCUGGUAUCUCCAAUCGACUCCUCUGAAGAAAGUACCUAGAAGUUGUACCUCACUGAAAUCAUG
rnacentral:sRNA from 1 species